AGGCAGCUGGUGUAAUGUGGGCAAUGGGAGUUGUAGUGGUGAGAUGAGCCUUUGGAUCCUGAGUCAUGUAUGCUACUGUCUGCAGUAGCAUUGCAGGUUGUUGUCACUCACAUCCCCAUAAACACAGUUUUCAGACUUGUCUGCUCUUGAUGGCAGUAGCACUAUGGCACUGCACAGAUAGAGGAGGGACCCCACUGUUCACACACAAGCCAAGCAUAAGGAUCACACCACCAGUGAAGGCAUAGUCACCACUUACAGCCCCAGACAGCCCUCUAGCUCAUCCACCUCAGCCUUUGUCAGCAGCAGCAGAAACUAUGCCUGCAGUGGUGUGCAAAUGUGCAGAAGAAGUCCCGUUCUCUUCACAUAUCUACAAAGCAUUUCUAUCAUUAGAUUCUAAUCCAGAACCACAUGAUUGACCUUGUAUGGCUGUUUCUGUGGAUGUUUGUUAAAUAAGAAUAUUGAGAGCCAAGGAAUUCUAUCAAGCAAAGAUGUUCUACUCAGGUUUAUGAACAGUUUUCCCCCUGUAUGGCUGUACUGUUUAUUCCACUGAGCCUGGCUGCAUCCUUCUGCUUUGAUUUAUAGGGAAGGCAGAAGUCAACACCUAAAAGAUGUGACUUUUAAAACAGUUGCCUAUAAUUUCAACUCGACUUUCUAUUACCAAAACACAUACUGCUGUGAAUCCUUAUUAUCAAGCGGCAAUUGAACAUCACAAAAAGGCCAGCAGAUAAAUAGGUAACAUUAAAGAGGACAUAAUAAGCCAUUCAAACAUUGUAAUAUAUAUACACUUUAUAAGAAAAAUAUUCAAAUUAAUUUUCUCUCCAGGAGCCUAACAGAAUAUACUAUCUGAAACAUAAAGUGAUGGUGAAAAGAAUUUGCAUGCUUCUCUAUGGUCAGCACUGUCGUAUACAAGUUGUAAAGAGCCCUCAAGAAUAUAUUAAAGGGAAUGUAAAUAAAUCACAGUGUUUCUAGUGUGACGUAAUUAAUCUGUGCAACAGAGCCUGGGAUAGUCUUUAUUUCUCCCUUUCUGUUGAAGUCCAGUUUCUCAGUUUAUGGCUUCUGCUCCAGGUAAGCAGAUCUUGUCUUUGACUCUGCAGAUUCAUCUGUCUUUCCACAUUUUCGUAUGGCAGUUUGCCCUCCAAACUUAGUUUUCUGAUUAGUGAAAGAAAAAUGAAUUUCAGUUUUUUUAGGAUUGUUUUUAUCAUAAGAAAGUGACUGUUUGCAAACUCUUUUCAUGCUGGAUUUGAAACCAGAAGUAAAAUAAUACUUUUUAAUAUCUGUCCUUACAGUCUAUACAUUUUUAUUAAUGACUUGUGCCUUUUAGCAAUAUAGCUUCCAUCUAAAGAAAGUCAGUUGCGAUCUUCUGAUAACAAUAUUUUGACACUUAAAUUCUUUUAUGAAAAAAAUGAAACAAUUGUUGGUAGCUUCCUGUAAUAUUACUGUGUUAUCAUUUUUAUGUUUAUUUCUUACUGGCUUGUGAAGAAUUCCCUGAUAUUUAUUUUUAUUCAUGCUCUGAUGUGUCUUAGCACAUUUCUAAUUUAUUUAAAUUGCAGGUUAGUGAAAUAAUAAGUUUUAAGGUGGUUUCAUUCUGUAAAAAUCUGUGGAACAAUAGAUUGAAAGCAUAAAAUAGAGUGAAGAGAAUCAUGCCAUGUUCUACGGGGAGAUAUGUUUUACCCUUUAGCAGCAUAUUAGAAAUGCACGCUUUAGAAAUGGAGGCAAACUACACUGUACAUCCUCCCACACGACACAUUUCUCAGCCUUGAGCAGAAUUUUCCUCUUGGCAGAGAACUUUUUUGUGAUGGGAAAGCUCACGAGUUUAAUCUAUUUAUUAUUUUUCGUACUAACAGAAAUCAGCACACAUAAUUUUAAACUACAUUAAAAGAAUAAGCCAUUUGCUUUUCAGAAUGGUUUUAUUUGGCCAAGAUAUGUCAUAGUUCUCCAUAAAGUUUGUCAAUAUGUUUCAUAGAAUUUAAAAACAAACUAAAUGUACACCUAGAAUGGUUUUGUUUGGCCAAGAUACGUCAUAUUUCUUCAAGAAGUUUGCCAAUAUAUUUCAUUAGAAUUUAAAAACAAACUAAAUGUACACCUAGACUUAUCUAAAAAAUUGGAAUAUACAAUACUAAAUAUGAAGCCAGUUUCAAAGAUUUGUUAAAAACGCAAUAAAAAAGUAUUUUAUUUUGAACUAUAACAGCCAAGUAUUAAUUAUACUUUUGACUUUUGAAAUAUUCAGUGAUAUUUCUUAACAACAUGAAGAUAUACUGUUUUAAAAUCAAGCAAGACAAUACAUUUCAAGAGGUUAUCAGAAAAACAUUCUCACUGUAUCAGGUGAGAAUGUAGACACAAAAGUUUUACUAUUUUUUGCUUUGUUCAGGCACCUGGCAAGUAGAAAAAUUGCUACAUACAUAUUAAAUUAUAUUAAGUUAAUGUGUUUAUAAUUAAUAUAUUCAAUAUAUAUUUCUUUUGCUAACUUCUUCCAUUGUCCUCUUCACUUUUUAUACAUGGAAACUUCUUUAAAGCAUCACAAAUGAUCAGAAAAUUACAAUAUAAUUUGCAUGUGCUAUUCUUUUUGAGAUUGCUACAUCUCUUUUAGACAGAAAGUGUCCUUGAGUUAUCAACAUUGGAAACUAGCCUCAAGUUUUUCCUUAAUAUUAUUAAAAAUAAUAAAUUUAUAGCGCUACCGUGAAAACACCUUAGCUCUUCAGAGUAGAAGAACAGACAAGCUGCACAUCAAGGGAUACCUGUCAGCUAUUAAACUCCAUGGAAGUCAUCAUGAGGCUCAAACAUGGAAUUUACAGUUAUCUCCGAAAGAAUCAGUUAGAAAAUGGUGAACAGGGUUAAGCUUCUGGCAGUAUGAGGAGGAGGCAGUAAGUUGAGAGAGUGUGGGCCACAUAAAAUAUUUAGGCAGAUGAGAUGAUAAGCAACUUUUGAAAAAUAGUUAAAUAUUCUGAAUGUCUCAGAAAACUAUGAAAACUCAUUGAACUUGAUGGAUACCUUCAAGGCAGUCAUGAGAGAUGGGUUUGCAGUAACGUAUGUGAGCUGAGUAUCUGCCCUGCUGUCUUCAAAUGUUUACAUUCUGUAACAAACAGAAUUGUGACACAAUCUCUAGGGAUGGGUUGUAUGUGUGGAAACAAGAUUACCUGCCAGUUCCAUGGAAGAAAAUAUCAGAAUAUGAGCUAUUGAAAAUAAAGUUUUUACAUACCUGAAUCUGAAUAUCGUGAUUGAUAUUCAUAACUGCUAUAUUUAUUUAUGAGGUAAAUAUACAAUACGUUUGGUUCCUAUUUGCAUGUGUCCAAAACAUGUUGAAACAUUUUAUCACACUACCAAUAAUUAUGUCAGUUAAAAUUUCUAUUCUUUUUGGAGUUUUAUAAAACCUUUUCAUAAAUAUCUAAAUUUUAUAAAAUCCUUCUAAGAUGGUAACAUUGCUAUGUUUAAUUCAAUAGUUAAUAAACUAAAUGUACACUUCUUUUCAUGUGAAACAAGAAAAUGAGCUAGCGAACAGUAGUUUUCCCAAAUCUAUGUUUUAUUCAAUGUUACAAUAUAAUUGCUAAAGUUAAAAACAUGCUGCUUGAAGAAACAGUUUUAUUAUAAGGAACUGGAAUGAUCAAUAAGAACCUAACAGAUGUGAUGAAUCAAUUUAGUUCUCGUAAAAAGUCUGAGUCUGAGGGUGUUCCUUAAUUUGGAAGACUAAUAGAGAUUUAAUAUUCUAGCUUGAAAAAUUCACAACAGAGAGGGAACUUCCAACAUUGUUUCCUUACCUCUUUUUCUCUGUCUACUCCAUAUUUACCUUUUUGUUUUCAGAGAAAAUGUUGCUAUUUCUAUUGCUCAGUAUGUAGGAUACUUAAAACCCUGGACACUCUUCUGUUGAAGUUAGGACACGUAAGUGGACUUCUUUACACCCCUCUGCUUUCUAGAGUAGAGUCUGUACGGCAUCUCUCCUUGCAAGCACGUUACUUAUUCAGCAACCCUGAAUCUCAAAGGUUUAAGUAGAUGCAGAGUUUUUUAGGGUGAUCAGCUAUCUAUAAUGGUGAGAGAAGAGAAAGCCUUACUUAAACUUAUCAUCUAAGAUUUAUUCUCUAAAUAUUUAGAACACUGUGCAUUUGAGUAGAUUGUGUGCAUGUUCAGCUGUUAAAAUUGUACUAGGCUUGUGAUUCUGUUAUCAGUCCUUUUGUGUACAGCCGCAAGAGUUUGAAACACUAAAGGAGGCUGAGGCAAUGAUAAAUAUGAGCUCCAAGCCUCCACCCUAAACUCUGAAUAUAUUGUUUUAGUGUACUUUCCUUUAUCACUUAAGGACUACUAAGUUCUGUUCCUGUAAUGAAACUAUAUGUUGUAUUGGAAUUUGGCUGAAAUAGUACAAAUAAAUAAUGUGUUUUUCUCAGAGUUUACAUGAAUAAAAUGGAUUGCUUUAAUGCUAUUUAGAUAGUAUAUUGCUAAAUCUCUUCCAGAGGGUGAGAUCAAAUGGAUCCCACUUUAGUAAGUUAUAAUCACUCUUGAAUUCCUAGUAACUAUAGAAAGAACUGGUCCCCAAAACACUUUUUAAAAUGAUAUUAUAACUAAGAGAAAAUAAUUGGACUAAUUAAGACUUUUACAUUAGAAAUUAAAGACCUUAAAAUACUUAGCAGCUAUGAAGAAUCUUGGAAAAGGAUUGACCGAUUUCUCCCAUUUGGAAUGAGUGUAUUUAUGCAGUAAAAUUUCUUAGUGAAUUUAUAUAAAAAGUAUAAAAUACUAGAUAAUUAUUCAUAUUCAAUGAACUAUUAAUUUUUAUUUAAAGAGCCCACACAUUGCUUUUCUAAAAAUGAAAGAUUAUAGUAAAUUGUCUUCAUAUUAAUUAAAUAUGAAUUUAAUUCAUAUGAAUUAAAUAUAAUUAUGUGGUAUGAAUAAGAAAAGCCAUUAAUGAUACUGAAGAUAUUUUCUAGUAUACAUAAAGACAAAAAGUUACAAAUAAAAAAGGCAGUUGUUCAUGGAAAAAGAAAAUCUGUAAAUUAAAAGGCACAAUUAAACUGACAUGUCUUCUAGCAUCUUUCUGACAGGUAAUCUCACUGAUCUGAAUGCUGAUAUUUCCAAAUAUGGAAGCCCCAAGUUUAAGAACUAUGAAUAAUAAUAAUAACAACUUUAGAAUAAAUGUUUAUCUGACAAUGACAUUAGUAUAUUAAUUUCUGGAAAGAGAUAAUACACACAAAUAUAAAAUGUAAAAUUUAAUUAAAUUUGGAAUAUUAUGAAGCCAUUUAAAUGGGUUAUGUUACAACCCCCUUGUAGGACAGCAUAUAGUUAUUGAAGCAGUUUUUUUCAAAGUGUCUGUGAUAGUAUGCUGACAUGGUCUGGCUCUGUGUCCCCACUCAAAUCUCAUCUUGAAUUAGAAUCUGAAUGGUAAUUCCCUCAUGUUGGGGGAGGGACCUCAUGGGAGGUGAUUGGAUCAUGGGGGCACUUCCUUUAUGCUGUUCUCAGGACAGUAAGUGAGUUCAGAAAUGAUGGUUUUGUGAGGGGCUUUUCCCCUCUUUGCUCUGCAAUUCUCUCAUUCUUCUCCUUUCUGCUGCCACGUAAGGAAGAAUGUGUUUGCUUCCUCUUCCACCGUGAUUGUAAGUUUUCUGAGGCCUCCCAAGCCAUGCUGAGCCGUGAGUCAAUUAAACCUCUUUCCCUUAUAAAUCACCCAUUCUUAGGUCUUUCUUUAUCAGCAGCGUGAGAAUGAACUAAUACAGUAAAUUGGUACUAGUAGAGUGGGGUGCUGCUAUAAGAAUACUCAAAAAUAUGGAAGCAACCUUGGAACUAGGUAAUAGGCAGACAUUGGAACAGUUUGGAGGACUCAGAAGUCAAGAAAAACGUGAGAAAGUUUGGAACAUCCCAGAGACUUGUUGAAUGGCUCAGAAUGAAAUGAUGGUAGUGAUAUGGACAAUAAGGUCCAGGAUGAAGUGGCUUCAAAUGGAGAUGAGUGACUUGUUGGGAACUGGAGUAAAGGUCACUCUUGGUAUGAAAAGAGCCUGGUGGCAUUUUACCCUAGCCCUUGAGAUCUGUGGAACUUUGAUCUUGAGAGAAAUGAUUUAGGGUAUCUGGUGGAAGAAAUUUCUAAGUGGCAAAGUGUUCAAGAGGAAGCAAAGCAUAGAAGUGUGGAAAAUUUGCAACCCGACAAUGCAGUAGAAAAGAAAACCCCAUUUUCUGAAGAGAAAUUCAAGCCUGCUGCAGAAAUUUGCAUAAGUACAAAAGGAACAGAAUAUUAAUCACCAAGAUAAUGGGGAAAAUGUCUCCAGGGUAUUUCAGAGAUAUUCACAGCAGCCCCUUUCAUGCCAGGGCCAGGCCCAGGGCCCCCCUGCUGUGUGCAGCCUAGAGAUUUGGUGCCCUGCUUCCUAGCCACUCCAUCCAUGGCUAAAAGGGGCCAAGGUACAGCUCAGGCCAUUGCUUCAGAAGAUGUGAGCCCCAAGCCUUGGCAGCUUCCAUGUGCUGUAGGUCUUGUGGAUGCACAGAACUCAAGAAUUAAUGUUUAGGAACCUCCACCUAGAUUUCAGAGGUUGUAUAGAUGUCCAGGCAGAGGUUUGCUGCAUGGGUGGGGUCCUCAUGAAGAACUUCUGCUAGGGCAGUGCAGAAGGGAAAUGUGGGGUCGGAGCCCACACAGAGUCCCCAUUAGGGCACUGCUCAGUGGAGCUGUGGAAAGAGGGCCACCAUUCUGCAGACUCCAGAAUGGUAGAUCCACCAACAGCUUGCACCGUGUGCUUGGAAAAGCUGCAGACACUCAACACCAGCCUGUGAAAACUGCUGGGAGGGGUCUUUAUCCUGCAAAGUCACAAGGGGGGAGCUGCCCAAGGCUGUGGGAGCCCACUUUUUGCAUCAGCAUGACCUGCAUGUGAGACAUGGAGUCAAAGGAGAUGUUUUGGAACUUUAAGAUUUAAUUACUUUCUUGUUGGAUUUUGGACUUGCAUGGGGCCUGUAACCCCCUUUGUCUUGAACAAUUUCUCCCAUUUGGAAUGAGUGUAUUUAAUGAGUAUAUUUAAUUGAGGUACCAAUUUCUGUACCUCAAUUGCAUCUAGGAAGUAAAUAACUUGCUUUUGAUUUUACAGGCUCACAGGUGGAAGGGGCUUGUCUUGUCUCAAAUGAGACUUUGAACUUGGACUUUUGCUGGAAUUAGUUAAGACUUUGAGGGACUGUUGAAAAGGCAUGAGUGUGUUUUGAAAUGUGAAAGGGAUAUGAGAUUUGGGAGGGGCCAGGGGUGGAAUGUAUGGUCUGGCUCUGUGUAGCCACUCAAAUCUCAUUUUGAAUUAUAAUCCAAGUUGUAAUCCCCACAUGUUGGGAGAGGGACCCCAUGGGAAGUGAUUGAAAAAUGGGGGCAAUUCCCUCAUGCUGUCCUUGUGAUAGUGAGUGAGUUCUAAUGAGAUGUGAUAGUUUUGUGAGGGGAUUUUCCCACCUUAGCAUGGAAGUUCUCUCAUUCUUCCACUUCCUGCUGUCAUGUAAAGAAGGACAUGUUUGCUUCCACUUCUGCCAUGAUUGUAAGUUUCCUGAGGCCUCCCCAGCCAUGCUGAACUGUGAGUCAACUAAACCUCUUUCUUUAUAAAUUACCCAGUCUCAGAUAUGUCUUUAUUAGCAGCAUGAGAAUGGACUAACACACUUGCAUAAUGGGUAAUAAUUAAAAACUUCUUUCUUCCCUUUUUAAAUACAUGACUUUUAUUCUGUCUCAACCAAUUUGUCUCUUUACCUUGUAAGAGAUUAGGAUUAGGCAUGAAAAAAUGUGAAGAUAAAGUAUAAUAUUUAGCUGGUGACAUUCAAAAUUUUGGUGUAAAAAUCACAAGGCUAUUUUCUUGUGACAUAGUCUAAGUCUGCAGGCAUAUCACUCUAAAUACACCUGAUCUCAUUUGAUCUCAGAAGCUAAGCAGGGUCAGGUCUUGUUAGUACUUGGGUGGGAGAAACACUCUCUAAACUAUACUUCCUACUUUAGUUUUGUGGGCUGGGCAACAGAAUUGUAUGUAAUAAAACUAUUCAGAUAGGGAGAAGUAGAUGGAAAUUCCCUUUCCCUCCUGAAAUUUAUAGUGAAUAAAGGAGAAACAUAUAGGUGAAUCAGAAUCAAAUGUUUACAUGCAUACUCAUUUCUUUUCUGUGGAUUUUAGUUUGAGGUGCAGGUGGUAGAAAGAUGAAGGUAUUACAGAAUGCAUACCCCUCUGAUUAGGAGUUCUACAUAUACACUCUUCUGUGUCAAAAUGGGGAAGUCAAAGCCUAAUCAAGAAUAGAAACUUGCUGGUUAGAGAGAGAGAAAGACAGACAGACUAGCAAGUAUUCAGAAGCCUCUCCUUCUUUCAGGGCUGCAUGGCCACACUAAGUUGAGAGCCAGCAAAUUUGUUAUGGAGCCUACCAUUAUAAGACUUAUUAGCUACAAAGUUGACGUUAGUGGUGGACCACUGGGCCAGGAAGCUGAAGGGAGUACAUGGCAGGACCCAAGACCUACAGCCAGUAAACUCUGAGGGGGAAAAUAUUUGCAAUUAAAAGCUGAUCAUGGCAUCCUAGAAUUUGUCCUGAGCCAAAUAAAGAACGUAUUCACCAGUUGCAGAUGUCGGCAUCAGAGGCCAGCAAGACACUAUGUGUCUGGGCUGUGACUUUAAUGCUCCAAAAUAUUUAUUUGAUUUGACUUUUUAUAUAACUACCCCUUGUGCUUACUUAAUCACACUCUUCAAUGCAUGUCCUUUUUACUAUUAACCCCCCCAGCAUUUUUUCCCAACAUUUCCCACCUCUUGUCUCCAGUUCCUGGUAACCACAAUUCUGUGUUUCUGUGAGUUCAAUAUUAUUACAUCCCACAUAUCACUGAGAUCAGGCAGUAUUUAUUUGUCUUUCUGUACUUGGCUUAUUUCACUUAAUGGAAUGUCCUCUAGGUUCAUUUAUUUUGUAAAUGACAAGAUUUCCUUCAUUUUUAUGGCUGAAGAGUAUUCUAUUGUGUAUAUAUGCCACAUUUGGUUCAUCUGUUAAUAUGUCGAUGAACAGUUAGACUAAUUCCAUCUCGGCCAUGUUGAAGAAUGGUGAAAUGAACAUGGGAGUCUAGACAACUCUUCAACAUACUCACUUCAUUUCAUUUUGAUACAUAUCUAGUAGCAGAAUUGCUGGGUCAUAUGGUAAUUCUGUUUUUUAUUUUUUGAGGAACCCCCACUACUUUUAAACAUUAGAAAUAAAAAUAAUAUAAUUGGUUCUUGCAAGUUUUCUCUGCUACUGGAAAGACGGACUCUAAGUUGGAAGCAGUAGAAGGGGAGAAAACAGGAACAUAAUCAACCCUUAAAAACUAUUCACCACUCUCAAUAUGUUGGAUCUCCUGUCAUCUGUCUAGCCUUGUCUUUGAAAAAGUAAAAAUGUGUGCAAAAACCAUUUACUGCAGGCUUAAUACUGAACUGUCUUUGUGCUCACCGUCUCUUUUCUGUGUUAGUUUCUUUUUUCAAACCAUUUUAAUCUUUUUAAAAAUGCAUUUUAGAAAUGAUUUUUAUCUGAUUUUAUUUUUCUUCCCCUCUUUGUCUUAUAUUUCCUUUUCUCUUUUGAUGCUACUUAUAUCUGAUUUUAGUAUAAUUAGAUGUUCAUGUUUGAAAAUUCAGAAACUACCAAGUUACACAUAUCAAAAGAAAUCAAAUCACAGGAUAAAAGUAUUAAUUUUUUAAAUUUCAGCUCUUAUUUUAGAUACAGAGCAUACAUGUGCAGGUUUGUUGCAUGGAAAUAUUGCAUGAUGUUGAGGUUUGGGAUACGGAUCCCGCGUCCAGGCACUAAGCAUAGUUCUCAACAAGUGGUUUUCCAACCCAGGACUUCAUCUCUCCUCCCCGCUCUAGCAGUCUACAGUGUACAUUGUUCCCAUGUUUAUGUCCAUGUGUGCUCAGUGUUUAGCUCCCACUUAUAAAUAAGAACAUGUAGGCUUUGGUUUUCUAUUCCUGUGUUCUUUUAGGAUUAUGGCCUUCAACUGCAAAAUGAUUAAUAUUUUAAUAAGCUUCCAUCAAGUUCUCAUAUUUACCUGUGUGCAGUUCUAUAAACACAGGCAGUAACAUAUAUAUAUGUAUAUAUAUGUUUAUGUAUAAAUAUAUAAAUAUAUAAAAUAAAUACAUUUAUCUAUAUAUACAGUUAUACAUUUAUAUAUGUGUUUUGCAUCUAUGCCUAAUAUUUCAUUAUAUCUAUUCAUGAUUUUUCACAUAAAUUCUGAAGAUGUAAUUAUGUAAUUUGUUGAGAUAUUUUACAUUAAAGGUUCUAAAAAAAGAAAAAUGAAAACAACUCAAUUGAAUUCCUAUUGUAUGAUUAUCUUAAGAAGAAGGGACAUAGGCAUAACACCAGUUUGCUUGACUUAGCAUGAUGACCAUUUCUUAACUUUUUAAUUAAAAACCUAAUCAAGUUUUAUCAUGUUUUAAGGUUUUUAGAUAAUUUCACAUAGUGUGUCAAUUAUUCAAGGUAGUUGCUUGUAUGGAAAAGAAAGCAAGUUCCUUCUUGCCUACUUUUUACCCCCAACCUACUGCUAAAGGAAUAAGCAAUGAGAAUUUUUUUUUUCAGAGUCAAGGUUUAAAAAAAAAAAACAUUUGUCAAAUGCAUGCUUUAUAGCAGAUCAUUUUGUUUUCCUGCUUCUGCAAUGUGACAUAGAAAAAUGAGUGUUGGAUUAGAAAAGUCCCCUGGUAAUAGAAUGGUCUAUUUGUUUGGCUGAUUAGAAGCAGGAAAAAUAGAUAAACUAAGAAUUUAGGAAGGCAAAAUGGACCUCUGAUAACUGAGGUGAGAUAAACACUAAAGAAAACUGCCAAAAGACAAUUUUGACUCAAUAUAAACUAAAGAAAAAAGUGGUAACAAGAGAGACAAAACCUAACCUGGAAAAAUUUAGUCUACAAUAAGCUAAAUUAAUGAUUACCAAAAGUUAUUGAAUAAUGACCAUGAGCCAGAUACUAAGUCUGUCUUAUCUAUUGUCUGAUUUAAUUGCCACAGCAGCCCUAUGAUAUAGUGACUGUUAACCUAAAUUUACAGAUAAGAAAAUGAAGCCUAAGGGUAUUUUGCCCAAAAUCACUGCUAGCAUUUAGCAUACUGGGGUGGAAAUUGAGGUUUAACUGUGUUAGUAUGCAAUUGUCUCAGAUGCAAUAUUCUAUUUCCUUGUGAGGAGCAAUGAAGAGUUUCUAUCCCAGAAAAAGAUAAGUAGUGAUAAUGGUUAAAAACAAAAGUUACCUAUUUUUAUUUUACCUACCCUUAAAUAUUAAAGCACAUUUAAAUAUAAUUGCUUAAUAUACAUUUUGUUUUUUGAAAUUUAAAAAAUCUGUUCUAAAAGGCCAUACAUUUUCUCUUCUGAAAAGCAAGAAGAAUAUUGCUAUCUCACAGUGUUAAAGUAAAGAUGGAACGUGGAAAUGAAGGUAAAAUGCUAGCUAAGUAAGUGCAAUCCUGGCUCAUACACACUAAGCACUCACAAAAUAGUUAAUGAGGGUAUUGUUAUACUGGCUUUGACAAACCAAUGACUUAUUGCUGGAAUUGUUUCUGAUGUGCCUUAAGUGUUUAAAUUCUUAAAAUGGGCCUACUCCUGAAUGAAUCUGUGUGUCUUUUCAAAUGGUUCACAGUGAUAUAUUUUUAUUAUAUUCAAUUUUUGGAAAUGUUUCAGUUAUGUAUUUUUCUGUAUGAUAAUUUAAUUAUAAAAGCAUUUUCUUGAGGAAUUAUCUUGUUUUUGAAAACAUACAAGUAUAGCUGUGUUAUAUACAUAUAUUAAUAAUUUGAUUUAAGAAACUGAAUGCCUCUCAUGUGUCUUUCAGGGGAUGUUUACCUGAUUUUUGUGGUCAGUGAUAAAAGUUCUUAAGUCAUUAAAAUGUUAUUAAAUAUUAAAUAUCAUUAAAAUAUUUGUUGAGUCAUCAAGUAAUAAAGCAUUUAAUCUGAAUCAGGUGUUUAGUUGAUUUAUGGGAUUUCUUCAGGAAGAAUAGAUAACAAGAAGACAGCAAUUGAAAAUUCAAAAUGAAUUAAGAAAAAUCCACUUAGGAAAUAGAGAAAAGUAUAAUAAAAAAUAAAAAGUGGUAAAAAUGGCAGAGGUUAUAGUGACAAGCAAAAAAGGAAAGAACAAAAAUUAUGAUCGCAAAAAUUACUCAAAAAAAAGUAAUUAAAUAAGCCCCCAUUUAAAGAUGUGGUUUAGAUAAAGCCAAAAAAUCCUGAUAUUUAAAAAAUAGCUCUAUAAAAUGAAUACUUUGUAUGCAAGAUAUUGAAUAGUUAAUAAUUAUUCUAAAUAAGACUUCCUUCUAGGUCUCAAAUCUAAGGUUUCUGAUAUCUGCCAAUUCUGGUUUAACUAUUAAUAAAAAUAAAUGUGUCAAUUAUAAAUAUUAGAUAAUGUGUGGUAAUAGGUUGCUAGGUAAAAUACAGGGCUCUCAGGUUAAUGUAAAUUUCAGAUAAAUAACAAAUACUACGUUAUGUGAGUAAAUAUAGGAAUAUGUAAUUUAAGACAUACUUAAUUAAGUGUACUUUAGUUUUAUUUGCUAAGUCCAGCAACUCUAUGUAGGAGUUAUGCUUUACAAAAUAUUUAAGCAUAUAUUCAAUCCUUCACUAAUAGUCAAGAAUCUUUUUUUUUUUUUUUGAGAUAGAGUUUCACUCCUGGCUGGAGUGCAAUGGCAUGAUGUUGGCUCACUGCAACCUCCACCUCCUGGGUUCAAGCGAUUCUCCUGCCUCAGCCUCCCAAAUAACUGGGAUUACAGGUGCCCGCCACCACACCCGAGCUGAUUUUUGUAUUUUUAGUAGAGAUGGGGUUUCACCAUGUUGGCCAGGCUGGUCUUGAACUCCUGACCUCAAGUGAUCCAUCCGCCUUGGCCUCCAAAAGUGCUGGGAUCACAGGCGUGAGCCGCCACACCUAGACCUUAUUUUUUAUUUUUUGUUUAUUAAUUACAUUUUGACAUUUGAAAAUAAAUUGAGGCACCAUAUGUUAAAGGCGACAUAUUUAAGGGCACUAAAAUUUCACUUUACCAUAAAAUCUAAAUUAUAUUAGGAAACUGGUGUAUGAUAUAGUUCGAAGAAACACACUCAAAAACAGAGUUUGAAGCAAAAUUAGAUAAGCUGAAGUCAAUAAUGCUAUGAAUAUUAAAAGUCAAGUCAAAGAGGACCCAUAUUACAGGGAAACCAACAGAGAAAUCAAAUAUAUGAAAAGACAAUCAUUGACUGUCAAUAUUUGAGAUUCCAAACCACCCACAAGUUCCAAAGGGUGCUGUGAGAAAACUGAUUUAUUGUAUUGAAAUGAAAGUUCUGCACAUGUAUUCCAGUACUUAAAGUAUAAUAAAAUAAAAUAAAAUAAUCUCUGGACAGACGCUUCUCUUCUGGCAUUAUAGGCUCAGACGUAAGAACCACAGGGGUCAUGCAAACCUGGGGAGUAUUGCUCAGGCAGUUCCUUCCUACUCAUGGCUGGGCCGUCACUGCAUUAUUAAUCAAAGCUUGUUCAAUCAACGCUGUCUCCUGCCAACCUGUUUAAUACAAUCUGACACUUAAAAAAAAAAGAAAAGUUCAGAGCUCAGGCAGUCGAAGCAAAUGGGCAAAGUCAUUGCAGACCAAGAAAUGGAAUGAGCAGCAUGAGAAACAGGAAUCAAGUAAAGCCAAAUCUUGAAAAUUCUGGCCUGAAACCAAUCUCAGGAUAAUAGCCAACUACACUUCCAAGUGAAAACAUGAAGAUACAAUAAUUAGAUUUAAUUGCAAGAGUCUGAGCAGUAAAAUGGUUGUAGAAUUCUAAAGAAAAGGACCAGUUCUGACAAUGCCAGGAUUAAAGUUAAUAACUGAAAUGUACAUACAUAGAGGCUUACAUACAAAUAUGAAUACAAAAUUAUACUGGGAAUAUUAAAUAAUUAAAAAUUAAAGCAUAAAAAUAUGAGCUUUUGAAAAAAUGAAAAUAUAUAAACCAGUCCUUAAUUUUGAAAUACUUAUUUUGACAUCAGCUCUAUUCUGCAGUUUCCUAGAGAUAUAUUGGUCAGCAAAACAAAUAUAGACCCUGCUCCAUAGAGGCUACAGUUUUGCAUUUACAAACUGUAGUAAGUAUCAUGUAAGAAAAUUAUAGUGUUAACUGUUUGACUUAAACAUCUAUAAGGAGGUUGGAGAACAUUGCACUAAGGAGUUGACUGUGUGUGUGUGUGCUUGUGUGUGUGUGGCGUAGAUCAACAGAGGCUUGAUCAUAAAGCUCUUUAUAAGCCAUGCUAAGGAUUGUUAGACUUUGUCCUAGAACAAUGAAGGGCCUUUGGAGGAUGAUGGGGAAAAUUUACAUGGUCAUAUGGAGGUGAGAAUCAAAGCUGAGGAGUAAGAAUUUCACCAAAUGUCCAGUUUUGGUGUAGAAGUACAUCCAUGAAAACAUUAUAAUGGUUAUGUACUGAGAUGAGAUAUGUGCAUGUCUGACAUUAUUCUGAAGCCAUUGCUUUUAAUCAAUUACUUUUAUUGAGGAAGAAUGAGGCAAACCACCCUCAGAUAAUAGUCAGUAUUAUAGCCAAUGUGCAACUAUUGGUACAGCAGUAUUGGAAAUUUUGAAUUGUAUUGCUUUAACCAUGUCCACAUAAAAAAUGGCUUGCAGUAUUAGAAUAAAAAUGAUGAAAAAUAUAUAAACUAAAAAUAGAUUUUUUUCUUAAACACUUUUAGAAGCACUGGUG
rnacentral:lncRNA from 10 species